rnacentral:misc_RNA from 1 species
AACCAUAGAAACCUGCGGAGUACCUGCGGAGGGAUCAUCAAAGAAUUAUUUACACAGAAAAGAUUGGAGUGGGGGGGUUAGAGUGGGGGAUUCGUCUCUUGCUCUCUCUCUUUUCCUCUAGUCUUUUCUGAACAAACAAACAUACAUGACUAGGAAAAACAGAUUGGUUUGGUUUGGUUGGCAAACAAGACAAGAAGUUCUUGGCUGAUAAGUAGCAUUGAUUUGGAUAAUCAAUACAAC